rnacentral:lncRNA from 1 species
AUGGCACAGGAUAAGACCACAAAUGAACAUUUUGCGUUACAACCAGGAGAUUCCCAACCCAUCUAUGCACAAAUUGCCCAUAAGAAAGCGGAACGCUUCAGAAAGAGGGAUGCUUCCCUACUGGUUUGGACAGAAAUGCCAGCAGAGACCAAAUUUCAAAUUGCACAACACAACUUGAACAUCAGCCUUUCUGUUUUACGGUGCAGACCCUCUUGGAAGAGAGAAGGUUAUACAGGAGUAAAACACAGAGAAAGUACGCGUUGGAAGACAGCCUGUUUACCUGGGGAGAAUAAAAGGCUCACACCGGGAGCAUACCCAAGAAAUGACAAGAUAUGCUUCUCCUAUCAACCUUAA